GUUCUAUUUUGUUNGUUUCUAGGACCGCCGUAAUGAUUAAUAGGGAUAGUCGGGGGCAUCAGUAUUCAAUUGUCAGAGGUGAAAUUCUUGGAUUUAUUGAAGACUAACUACUGCGAAAGCAUUUGCCAAGGAUGUUUUCAUUAAUCAGUGAACGAAAGUUAGGGGAUCGAAGACGAUUUUACCAAGUAUUUGGUCGUCAAUAGUGAAACUAGUCUGGGCGCAAGCCCGGGCGACACUGUCCAACUGUGGGGCCGCCUCCGUUUUGGAAGCUAAUCCACAGCGAGUUCAACGCGUAACAUGCGCUGCGAGCCAGUCUACAGACUGAGUGACGGUGGGCUUGGGUGCUAUACCCCGGGUUUUUGAUACAGUCGGUCCGGUGCUGCCAAAGCACCUGGAACCACGCAGAUACCGUCGUAGUCUUAACCAUAAACUAUGCCGACUAGGGAUCGGGCGAUGUUAUUUUUUGACUCGCUCGGCACCUUACGAGAAAUCAAAGUUUUUGGGUUCUGGGGGGAGUAUGGUCGCAAGGCUGAAACUUAAAGAAAUUGACGGAAGGGCACCACCAGGAGUGGAGCCUGCGGCUUAAUUUGACUCAACACGGGGAAACUCACCAGGUCCAGACACAAUAAGGAUUGACAGAUUGAGAGCUCUUUCUUGAUUUUGUGGGUGGUGGUGCAUGGCCGUUCUUAGUUGGUGGAGUGAUUUGUCUGCUUAAUUGCGAUAACGAGCGAGACCUUAACCUGCUAAAUAGC
rnacentral:rRNA from 1 species